rnacentral:rRNA from 1 species
AUACGUAGGGGGCGAGCGUUGUCCGGAAUGAUUGGGCGUAAAGGGCGCGUAGGCGGCCCGGUAAGUCUGGAGUGAAAGUCCUGUUUUUAAGAUGGGAAUUGCUUUGGAUACUGUCGGGCUUGAGUGCAGGAGAGGUAAGUGGAAUUCCCAGUGUAGCGGUGAAAUGCGUAGAGAUUGGGAGGAACACCAGUGGCGAAGGCGACGUACUAGACUGUAACUGACGCUGAGGCGCGAAAGUGUGGGGAGCAAACAGGAUUAGAUACCCUGGUAGUCCACACUGUAAACGAUGAAUGCUAGGUGUAGGGGGUAUCGACCCCUUCUGUGCCGCAGUCAACACAAUAAGCAUUCCGCCUGGGGAGUACGGCCGCAAGGUUGAAACUCAAAGGAAUUGACGGGG